rnacentral:misc_RNA from 1 species
UGCAGUAGGGAAUACACAACAGCAGCAAUGCAAUCAAGGGCCUGUCACCUCUGUGACUUUGACCUGAGAAUGCAUAUGGUAGCUGAACUUCUAAUCAAAUAUUUACAAGCACAAAAACAACAUGUAUCCACUCAGAUGUGAGGCACGCCUUCUGCGUUGCUCUCAGUUACAAAAACUCCUCCAGUAUGUCUGUUUCAGUUGAAUUGAAUGAUACAGUUGCGAUCCAGAGAAGUACUUUAACUAGAAAAUAGAUUGUUUCUUCUUUUUCUUUGUUAUAAAUGUAGUAGUACAACAGCUAGGGAUAGUGAAAUUGCCCAUCGAACAGCAGCAAAACCUGUAGAUGAAUAAGAUGGUGAUUGUGAUGGUAACAGUGAAACUGGUGGCAGUGCAUCCGAAUGUGCUUCUCCUGAUUUUGGCUUUGAUGGAGGCUGGACAUGGGCAAAAACAACAUUUGGCAAAGGACUAGAUGCAGGAACUGUUUGGGAGAUUGGCGCAGGUGUUGGUGACACUGCAGGGUGAUUGAUGUGAGGUUCUGGCGAGGGAGAAGGAAAGUGAGGAGCAAUAUUUGGUGAAACCAUAGGGGUUAUGUAAGAUCGCUUUCUGCCAUUCCCUGGAAACCUCCUAUUACGCCCAAGUUGGCAAUCAGGAGGCUUUGCUUUACUAUUCUGAGGAGCAGGUGGAUUUUUCGGUGGGCCAGGCAAAUGUUCAAAGGGUGCAGGGGAACCUUUCUGAGUGGCAGGGGCAGGCGGAAAUA